UCUUCCGUAGGUGAACCUGCGGAAGGAUCAUUACUGAUUUGUUUAAUUGCCCCACAUGUGUUUUUUAUUGAACAAAUUUUUUUGGUGGCGGGAGCAAUCCUACCACCAGAGGUUAUAACUAAACCAAACUUUUUAUUUACAGUCAAACUUGAUUUAUUAUUACAAUAGUCAAAACUUUCAACAACGGAUCUUUUGGUUCUCGCAUCGAUGAAGAACGCAGCGAAAUGCGAUACGUAAUAUGAAUUGCAGAUAUUCGUGAAUCAUCGAAUCUUUGAACGCACAUUGCGCCCUUUGGUAUUCCAAAGGGCACCCCUGUUUGAGCGUCAUUUCUCCCUCAAACCCCCGGGUUUGGUGUUGAGCAAUACGCUAGGUUUGUUUGAAAGAAUUUACGUGGAAACUUAUUUUAAGCGACUUAGGGUUAUCCAAAACGCUUAUUUUGCUAGUGGCCCCCCCAAUUUAUUUCAUAACUUUUACCUCAAAUCAGGGAGGACUACCCGCUGAAAUUAAGCCUAUCAAUAAGCGGAGGAA
rnacentral:rRNA from 1 species